rnacentral:rRNA from 1 species
AAUGAACGCUGGCGGCGCGCCUAAUACAUGCAAGUCGAGCGAGAAGACGUAGCAAUACGUUUGUAAAGCGGCGAACGGGUGAGGAAUACAUGGGUAACCUACCCUAGAGUGGGGAAUAACUAGCCGAAAGGUUAGCUAAUACCGCGUACGCUCCUUGGACUUCGGUUCAGGGAGGAAAGCGAUGCCGAGGGUAUCGCGCUCUUGGAUGGGCUCAUGUCCUAUCAGCUUGUUGGNGAGGUAACGGCUAACCAAGGCUUCGACGGGUAGCUGGUCUGAGAGGACGAUCAGCCACACUGGCACUGCGACACGGGCCAGACUCCUACGGGAGGCAGCAGUAAGGAAUAUUGCGCAAUGGGCGAAAGCCUGACGCAGCGACGCCGCGUGGGGGAU